rnacentral:lncRNA from 1 species
ACAUGUUUACAAUAUUAUAAUACACCCUCGACAUUGUAGCACUACCUCUCUUCUUCUACUUAGCAACCCUUGUCAGCCCCCACUUUUCUUCAUCUUGAAAGAUGAUUUUUGGUGACGACUUUUCUUUUUCUUUUUCUUUCCUCCUUUCAUCCCCAAACCAAAAAUCGUUUCCACGCAAUCAUCGCUCCUCACACCAUGUCGUAGGAGUUUGAACUAAACAAUUUCCCUCCGCAAACAAACCUUUCUGGUUGGAUACCAUCAUUUAGAAAUAUGCAACACACCCUACCAACACAGUCCUCAAAAUAGGCCCCGACAUUCGAAAUUUCCCCCUUAAUCUUCUCAAAGCCAUCCACACAGUUGUAGCCAUUGAGAUCGACCAUCGUUCGAAAAUCCGCAAUACACCACACUGACACAAUCCUUGAAAAACAGACCUAACGAUGGAAAUGCCUAUGCUCUAAGGAAACUCGUUGUUGAAGUAGAUGACAUCUUCCAACUAAAACUCGCGCGCAAGCAUGUGCAUGCUCGUAGAAGGAGGCAAAAUUACUGUUGUUGAAGCUAAGAUUCAACACCCUUGAAACUUGGUGUCGGGCAAAAACCACAACUUGCACUUCAACGU